AUGAAGAGCUAGUCUUGCAUGUCGCUAUGCUAGUUGUUAUCCUAUGGUUGUUCUGUGUAGCUUUGUGUUGUCACUUUACCCCUCAUGUACGUGUUAAAUAAAGCUCUGUAUGACUCUGGACUCCACUUGAUGUAACAUGUAUUAUGCCGGAGACCUUAUUCGGUAAUUAAUACAUGGUUUAGCCUUGACCUUCGGGUCGGGGCGCUUCACAAAAUAAUCCGUAAACUGCACUACCUCAUGCGCAUUCUCAUGCAGGUCUGAUUGAGGAAGAAGAAGAUUCGCCUCCUCAAGACAAACGGGGAAUGGUUCCACUGUUGUACCGGAGACACCACCCAGCACACCAUUGGAUACCGCCAUACCAAUGGACACUGCGGAGGGCGACCAGGAAGAAUCCAGUCACGACGAGGAUCUCUCCCAAACACUACUAUGGCACACUCCAAAGAAUAAUAAUUCCAAAGAUUAGGAGAACUAGAAGCGGCAAGCACUCAAGAAAGUUGUGUCUAAUGCCACGACUACGUGCCCAUCCUCAGUCUUACCCACGGAGUCUGGACGCGCAACACUGGCGUACCAGUCCGUUCAGCCCACCGAAGCAACACCGUUGCCGCCGUGAGAUCCUCGUUGCACUAUGUGUGCUUGUAUCAUUUCGUUGUGUUCUGUAUGGACUUGUGGUAAUAUGGACUAAUAGCUAAUUGUAUGGAUUGCAUGUGAUGUUUAUUGUAAUGUAUGGACUUGUAUCAUUUCCCGUGCAUUCUGUAUGGACUUGCGUUCUUAAUAAUA